UUAAUGUUGUUCGCGUGUACAGUACGACUCAGAGGAAUGCUGGUGGUACAAUAUUAAAUAAAUGAGGCGCGCACGGAUUUUUGAGCAUCUCUGAUCUCUUGUGGAACAAGUGAUUUUAUUUUUGUGGCGUUAGAGCUCAAUUUUAUUCUCAAAUAAGGGAAAACCAUUUUAUGGGACCAUGCAGUAACUGAGUGUGAUGAACAGGAGGCUGAAGGAGAAGGGAAUAGCGGAAGUACACCCCUCAUGGUGAAGAACUAAAGAUUUUUGCUGAUUCGAGCACGAAUACUUACUUGAUUUCUCUUGUUUUCCAAAGCAGCCCACAAUUAAAGUUAGUUAAUUUGCUCUCUGUUUGCUUGUGUUUUGAAUGUUUCUGUGGAUUUGUGUAAACUGUAGUUCAUGCAUUUGUACAAAGGUGUUCUUGCAAUGAUAUGUUAUAGAAGGUCGUCUCCUACUUUGUGAUCGCUAUUUAGCAGACUUUGUGAUCAGGAACUACGUUACACUGAUCAGUUCUCUGCUCAGACCGGGUUUCAGAUUUUGCAAUUAGUUUUUGUGGGUUUUUGCUCAAGGCUACCAAACCCAACAAAACACUACUGAGGUCAUGUGGGUUAUGGGGCAUAGUUAUUGUUUUAGUGCCAUGAUUUUGUCUGAUAUGCUAAAGAACUCGCUGUACUACUUUGACUCUAGAGACACGGGAAAUAAACAGAACUUUCAAACUUAACAUUGGCCAUCAGAGCAGCCAUCAUAAUAUCUUUCCAAAUGAAAUGCAAG